CUGCGUAGAGAUGAGUCAUGAUCUAAAGGUACAAUUUAUACUCAGUGAGAUAGACUAUGAUCAGGAUCUGAUUAUAAGAUAUUUUAUUUAUUUAUAUGAUUUGAUAUUUAAAAUAACCUAUGACUAUAUAGGGGCAGAUCAAAAUCUAUAUCCAGUGAGAUAGCUUAUGAUCGAAGAUCAAUCAUAGCUUUAACAAUUACAUAAUAAAGAACUAAUUUAUAUU
rnacentral:lncRNA from 1 species